UACAGAGGUCUCAAGCGUUGUUCGGAUUCACUUGGGCGUAAAGGGUGCGUAGGCGGCGCGGUAAGUCGGGUGUGAAAUCUCGGAGCUUAACUCCGAAACUGCAUUCGAUACUGCCGUGCUUGAGGACUGGAGAGGAGACUGGAAUUUACGGUGUAGCGGUGAAAUGCGUAGAUAUCGUAAGGAAGACCAGUGGCGAAGGCGGGUCUCUGGACAGUUCCUGACGCUGAGGCACGAAGGCCAGGGGAGCAAACGGG
rnacentral:rRNA from 1 species